rnacentral:rRNA from 1 species
GCAACUCGACUCCAUGAAGCUGGAUUCGCUAGUAAUCGCGCAUCAGCCAUGGCGCGGUGAAUACGUUCCCGGGUCUUGUACACACCGCCCGUCACACCAUGGGAGCCGGGAAUGCCCGAAGUCAGCGGCCCAACCGAAAGGGGGGAGCUGCCGAAGGCAGGCCUGGUGACUGGGGUGAAGUCGUAACAAGGUACC